rnacentral:lncRNA from 1 species
GUCAAAUCCAUAAUUUGUGUGAUUAGGAGAAUAAAUACAAUCUAGUGGAUUGUAUGAAUAUAAGGAUUUAUUUUCAGUGAAAUCUGCCACUAAUAUUGGUGUAAUUUUUUCAUUUAUAGGGACAGAGCUGGCAUUUAAGAAGGGUGAUUGAAAAAUAUCAAGUGAAAGAUACCUCUGUUUUCCUUCCUCUCAGGCAAUGUUGGCAGCAAGCACACACACAGUAACGUUGAAUGGUUACAUGCAUUCAAGGGAUGUACAUUAUGGACCAUACCCUGAAGACUCUGACAAGCAUGAGUGUGAAGGUGUGCAUGCAGACAGUAGUUGUUCCUCGUGCUGUGCCUGUUGCUGAGGAAGCUGAGAUGUCUACCAGCAAAGAGACCUUGCAACCCAACAGGAGAUACCAUUCAGAGGAGCUUCACAAACUCUGCGAGGAACAUGUCUGCUGUUAAUAAAUAUC